rnacentral:rRNA from 1 species
UACGUAGGGUGCAAGCGUUGUCCGGAAUUAUUGGGCGUAAAGAGCUCGUAGGCGGUUUGUCACGUCGGCUGUGAAAACCCGAGGCUCAACCUCGGGCCUGCAGUCGAUACGGGCAGACUAGAGUUCGGCAGGGGAGACUGGAAUUCCUGGUGUAGCGGUGAAAUGCGCAGAUAUCAGGAGGAACACCGGUGGCGAAGGCGGGUCUCUGGGCCGACACUGACGCUGAGGAGCGAAAGCGUGGGGAGCGAACAGG